ACAUAAAGGUUGACAUAAAGGUAGACAUAAAGGUGAACAUAAAGGUACACAUAAAGGUAUACAUAAAGGUAGACAUAAAGGUAUACAUAAAGGUAGACAUAAACGUAGGCAUAAAGGUAGACCUAAAGGUAGACAUAAAGGUUGACAUAAAGGUAGACAAAAACGUAGACAUCAAGGUAAACAUAAAGGAAGACAAAAAAGUAAACAUAUAAAGAUAGACAUAAAGUUAGAUAUAAAGGUUGACAUAACGCUAAACAUAAGGAAAAGUCCUGCAUUCUGUCAUAUAGCUUAUGUUUUGUCCAAUCUAAUGAACACC